GGCUGUCCUUUUCCCUGCGGCCUCUGCUCCGGCGGGAGCACCCCGGCGGAGCUCCAGACACGUGCGGAGGGGACAGCCGUGGGCUUUGGACAGAGGCAGCCCCAGGAUGACUUGAAAGUGGGGCAUCUUGGGUCCUCCUAAAGAGAGAAAAUUAGUGGCUGGUGAACAGUCUGUAUGGCAUUCUCAGAUGCCUUUACCCUAGUGAGAACUCUGCCUCCAUCAGGACCUCAGAUGUCUGACAGCCCUGUGUGACAUCAGGAUAGGAUAUUCCUGUAAAUAUACUGCAGGACGUGUGGCACUCUACAACACUGACAACAUUUACUGCAUGUUGAUGUGCCAGAAUUGGUAAACUCAUUCUACAUCUCUUAAUCCUCUCAACAGGCCUACAAGGUACUGCUGUUAUUUUGCCCAAGGUCACACAGUGGGUCCAGGAACCACUGUGGUGUUCAAUUAAUCUAGCUCCAAAGCUAGUGUUUGAUUUGGAACUUUUAAGUAUGGUGCCCCCAGGUCUUUCCAACUAAUUCUAAUAAAUAAUUGCUUGCCUUCUUUAAUCAUCAAA